GGACCCGCACAAGCGGUGGAGCAUGUGGUUUAAUUCGAUGCAACGCGAAAAACCUUACCUACUCUUGACAUACUUGGAAGCUCUUGUAAUGAGAGUGUGCCUUUUGGAACCAAGAUACAGGUGCUGCAUGGCUGUCGUCAGCUCGUGUCGUGAGAUGUUCCGUUAAGUUGGAUAACGAGCGCAACCCUUACCCUUAUUUGCCAGCGAUUCGGUCGGGAACUAUAAGGGGACUGCCGGUGAUAAACCGGAGGAAGGUGAGGACGACGUCAAGUCAUCAUGGCCCUUACGAGUAGGGCUACACACGUGCUACAAUGGGGAAUACAGACGGACGCUAAGCCGCGAGGUGGUGCUAAUCCUAGAAAGUUUCUCGUAGUCCGGAUCGGAGUCUGCAACUCGACUCCGUGAAGUCGGAAUU
rnacentral:rRNA from 1 species